CAAAACUUUCAACAACGGAUCUCUUGGUUCUGGCAUCGAUGAAGAACGCAGCGAAAUGCGAUAAGUAAUGUGAAUUGCAGAAUUCAGUGAAUCAUCGAAUCUUUGAACGCACAUUGCGCCCGCCAGUAUUCUGGCGGGCAUGCCUGUUC
rnacentral:rRNA from 1 species